rnacentral:rRNA from 1 species
CAAAGGUUUGGUCCUGACUUUCCUGUCGACUCUAGCUAUAUUUACACAUGCAAGUAUCCGCACCCCAGUGAGGAUGCCCCAACAUCCCCCUUACUGGGGGAAAGGAGCAGAUAUCAGGCACAAUAACACGUUAGCCCAAGACAUCUUGCUAAGCCACACCCCCAAGGGAUUUCAGCAGUGAUAAAUAUUAAGCAAUAAGUGCAAACUUGACUUAGUUAAUGCUAAGAGAGCCGGUAAAUCUCGUGCCAGCCACCGCGGUUAUACGGGCGGGCUCACGUUGACAGUUCUGCGGCGUAAAGGGUGGUUACUUGAACUCAUCACUAAAGCCAAACACCUCCUAAGCAGUAAUACGCUCAUGAAGGAAAGAAGCCCUUUUACGAAAGUAGCUUUAUGCUAUUGACGCCUCCAAAGCUGAGGCACAAACUGGGAUUAGAGACCCCACUAUG